rnacentral:rRNA from 1 species
AUUGAACGCUGGCGGCAUGCCUUACACAUGCAAGUCGAACGGCAGCACGGGAGCAAUCCUGGUGGCGAGUGGCGAACGGGUGAGUAAUAUAUCGGAACGUGCCCAGUCGUGGGGAUAACGUAGCGAAAGCUACGCUAAUACCGCAUACGAUCUAUGGAUGAAAGCGGGGGAUCGCAAGACCUCGCGCGAUUGGAGCGGCCGAUAUCAGAUUAGGUAGUUGGUGAGGUAAAGGCUCACCAAGCCGACGAUCUGUAGCUGGUCUGAGAGGACGACCAGCCACACUGGGACUGAGACACGGCCCAGACUCCUACGGGAGGCAGCAGUGGGGAAUUUUGGACAAUGGGCGCAAGCCUGAUCCAGCAAUGCCGCGUGCAGGAUGAAGGCCUCGGUUGUAACUAGCUUUGUACGGAACGAACGGUAGAGCUCUAAUACAGUUUGCUAAUGACGGUACCGUAAGAAUAAG